UACGAAGGGUGCAAACGUUGCUCGGAAUUAUUGGGCGUAAAGCGCACGUAGGCGGCUCCGCAAGUCCCAUGUGAAAGCCCACGGCUUAACCGUGGAAGUGCAUGGGAAACUGCAGAGCUUGAGUACUAAAGAGGAUCGCGGAAUUCCCGGUGUAGAGGUGAAAUUCGUAGAUAUCGGGAGGAACACCAGUGGCGAAGGCGGCGAUCUGGGUAGAUAUGA
rnacentral:rRNA from 1 species